rnacentral:misc_RNA from 1 species
GAUGAAGAACGCAGCGAAAUGCGAUAAGUAAUGUGAAUUGCAGAAUUCAGUGAAUCAUCGAAUCUUUGAACGCACAUUGCGCCCUCUGGUAUUCCGGGGGGCAUGCCUGUUCGAGCGUCAUUACAACCCUCAAGCUUUGCUUGGUAUUGGACAUUGCCAGUUUCUGGCAGGUCUUAAAAUCAGUGGCGGUGCCAUUUGGCUUCAAGCGUAGUAAUUCUUCUCGCUUUGGAGAUCCAAGUGGUUACUUGCCAAUAACCCCCAAUUUUUUCAGGUUGACCUCGGAUCAGGUAGGGAUACCCGCUGAACUUAAGCAUACAAUAAGCGGAGGA